UCAUCCUUUUUCUCUUCCCCUUAGACACUCGUCCUGUCUGCACACUCAGAGCAGCUGUGAUGGCUGCAAAACAUCCCAGGAGGAGGCCAGCGUGACCACAUCAGUCAGCGGGCCACGGCUGAGCAGUCAGCAUCCCGACCACCCUCUGCCACAGGACAGCCGGGGCAUGGGGUUCAUGCCCCGCGAGGCUGCUGCCUCCAUCCACCAACUCCUCAGCAGCGGACGUGUGCCCAGCUCUCAGAUGCUCAAGCGACGUAGAAAGACGAUUGGGGGGGGAUGCUGAGCUACAAGCGAGAUCAGCCCAUGGAGGAAUAAUCGCGAACCAGCCAAGUCCUCAUGUUAAGGAAACCAGCUAAUGUGCUGUCCGCAAAUGAACCCACUGGAAGACUAGAAGGAGACACCUGCUUACUGUCACAAGGUCUGCGUCUGUAAAAUGGGUCACUUGGACAAGAUGAAUUUGAGAUGUCUUCAUUCACCGUGCACUCAAGCAUCCAACGCCAUGAGCAUCCACUGUGUAUGUGGCUCUCUCCUGGGUGCUGGGGAUUCAGCCAGAGACCAGACCAGCACCUGCCCCUCCAGGAGCUUGCACCCCGGGAGACAUUCUCCUUCCACUUUGGACGCUCUCCAAAUCUAGAGGUCUACUUCAUUUAUCUGAAUAAUAGCCCAGUUCAGAGAAGCAGAGAUCAUGCCAAGUAAGAGUAACUGGAAGCAAGUGUCCCCUUGAGUCCCUGGAGGGCUGAUGGGAGAUGAGGUUAAGUAGGAGGGUGGAUCUAUCCAGAAAUCUCUUUCCUAUUAAUAUCAACACUGCAAAGGCCAGUUCUAAAGAUUCAUUUUAGCAUAUUUAUUCCUAACAAGUCCUGUUCUCGUGGCUUUGAGGUGGGAAUGACAAUGAUGACAAUAAAGGGACUGUGGUUUUGCACUUCCUACUUUUUGCAGACACUCCCUAACCUGCUCUUGGCAGCUGCCCACUGGCUGCCCCAUGCUCCCCAACCUGCCGGUGCGUCCCUGUCCCACGUCCACAGCUCUCACACUGCCCCUUCUUCCCCCAACAUUCCACGUCCUGCAUAUGUGCUCCCACCUCACUCUACAACGUGCCUGUAAAAUGCAGUGACACCCAACGGUCAACCUCCACAGACAGACCAGGAAGGACAGACAUGAGACAACAUUGUCCUCAAGCCAGGAUGCCAGUUACGCUCACUCCAGUCUUCCCACCAAAACCUCCCGAGUAAGAAACCCCGGAACCUCCGCAUCAUCUGCAGCUCCGGGGUCAAGAUGGGCCACUCAAAUGGAGAUGGUCUCUUCACAGCCCAGAGAAAGUGGGAGCUGCACUGAUGUUAGCAAAGUAACGCUUUCUGACCCAAAUAAAACUUAGAAGCAAGGGCUUCUUUAGGCACACGAGAAUCCCUUACUUUCUCCAAGUUUCU